AGUAGAGUGGGCAAUGUCCGAAAUGCUGAGGAAUCCUAGAGUGAUGAAGAAGGCACAAGAAGAGGUGAGGAGGGUAUUUGGUAAAAAAGGAAACGUGGAUGAAACAGAGAUCCAUGAACUGAAAUAUUUGAAGUUAGUAAUUAAAGAAACUUUGAGAUUACACCCUCCUGCUCCUUUGCUACUACCAAGAGAAGGCAGAGAGAGAUGUGAGAUUAAUGGGUACGAGAUACCUGCCAAAUCCAAAGUUAUUGUUAAUGCCUGGGCAAUUAACAGGGAUCCAAAUCACUGGACUGAAGCUGAGACAUUCUAUCCAGAAAGAUUUCUUGAUAUUUCGAUUGAUUACAAGGGGAACAAUUUUGAGUUCAUCCCGUUUGGUGCUGGAAGGAGGAUGUGUCCUGGAAUAUUUUUUGGCAUAGCUAAUGUUGAGCUUCCACUUGCACAAUUUCUAUAUCAUUUUGAUUGGAAACUUCCUGGUGGAUUGAAGGCAGAAACUCUGGAUAUGAUUGAGUCUUUUGGGGCUACAGUUAGAAGGAAAAACGAUCUGCACUUGAUUCCCAUUCCAUAUAAACCACCUCAGCGGCCUGUUGAAUCAGGCCACUAAGUGUUAGAUUUUCACCUUGUAUGUUGCUGUUAGCCGCUGAGAUUUCUUUAGAAGACUCAAGAAAAUGUAAUGAUAUUUUUUUUU
rnacentral:misc_RNA from 1 species